rnacentral:rRNA from 1 species
CGCCAGACUCCUACGGGAGGCAGCAGUGGGGGAUAUUGCACAAUGGGGGAAACCCUGAUGCAGCGACGCCGCGUGGGUGAAGGAGUGCUUCGGCAUGUAAAGCCCUAUCGGCAGGGAAGAAGCAAGACGGUACCUGACUAAGAAGCCCCGGCUAACUACGUGCCAGCAGCCGCGGUAAUACGUAGGGGGCGAGCGUUAUCCGGAUUUACUGGGUGUAAAGGGAGCGCAGGCGGCACGGCAAGCCUGAUGUGAAAGCCCGCGGCCCAACCGCGGGACUGCAUUGGGAACUACCGGGCUGGAGUGCCGGAGAGGUAGGCGGAAUUCCUAGUGUAGCGGUGAAAUGCGUAGAUAUUAGGAGGAGCACCAGUGGCGAAGGCGGCCUACUGGACGGUGACUGACGCUGAGGCUCGAAAGCGUGGGGAGCAAACAGGAUUAGAUACCCUCGUA